CCCUUAGAUGUUCGGGGCCGCACGCGUGCUACACUGAAGGAAUCAGCACGUCUUUCUCCUUGUCCGAAAGGACUGGGUAACCCGCUGAACCUCCUUCGUGCUAGGGAUUGGGGCUUGUAAUUCUUCCCCAUGAACGAGGAAUUCCCAGUAAGCGCGAGUCAUAAGCUCGCGUUGAUUACGUCCCUGCCCUUUGUACACACCGCCCAUCGCUACUACCGAUUGGAUGGUUUAGUGAGAUCCUCGGAUUGGUCCCGGCGCGGCCUCUGGUCGUGCCGGAGUGCCGAAAAGAAUGUCGAACUUGAUCAUCUAGAGGAAGUAAAAGUCGUAACA
rnacentral:rRNA from 1 species